CAUCAGAAUUGCAUACUACUAUACUGCUCUUACUAAUAAGUAUGCACACUCAAGAAGGCAGAGAUGCAGGACUGUGCUAAUGAAGGUUUGUUCCUGCGUGUGAAGGUUUGGUUCAGGAGUCUCCCGUCGGUUCACGUUCUUCAGGACUCCUGACAUAAUCGCCUGUCACUUUUAUAAACAGGAGGAAAAGUACAUGUCUGUCUAACAAUGACCUGCCGUCCUCCAGCCAGCGAGUUAAUUACCAUCACUGGAAAGACAGCCAGACAACGGUUAACACAUGACUCUGCAGCGUGGAAUUAUGGGAGUGUUGAGCUCUGUUCCAAAACACAAUGA
rnacentral:lncRNA from 12 species